CCCUUAGACGUUCUGGGCCGCACGCGCGCUACACUGACCAGUGCAACAAGCAUCCGUCCUUGGCCGACAGGCCCCGGCAAUCUUUGAACGCUGGUCGUGAUGGGGAUAGACUUUUGCAAUUUUUGGUCUUCAACGAGGAAUUCCUAGUAAACGCAAGUCAUCAACUUGCAUUGAUUACGUCCCUGCCCUUUGUACACACCGCCCGUCGCACCUACCGAUUGAAUGGUCCGGUGAAGCCUCCGGAUUGGCGCGCACCUCGGUGCCGCCGAGAAGUUGGCUAAACCUUACCAUUUAGAGGAAGGUGAAGUCGUAACA
rnacentral:rRNA from 1 species